AAUUAUGAACUUAGAUAUAGGAAGAUGUGGUGUGAGUGCCAAUGAGACAACUCUCCAUACAAAUAACAAUUUAAAAAGUAAACCAUUAUAGGUUAAAGUACGGCCUUCAACACGGAGCCUUAGCUCACACCGAACAACAAGCUAUAAAGGGCCCCAAAAUUACUAGUGUAAAACCAUUCAAACGGGAAAACCAACGGUCUAAUCUAUAUAAACAAAACGAGAAACGAGAAACAU
rnacentral:lncRNA from 1 species